rnacentral:rRNA from 1 species
UACGAAGGGUGCAAGCGUUACUCGGAAUUACUGGGCGUAAAGCGUGCGUAGGUGGUUUGUUAAGUCUGCUGUGAAAGCCCCGGGCUCAACCUGGGAAUGGCAGUGGAUACUGGCAAGCUAGAGUGCGAUAGAGGGGCGUGGAAUUCCCGGUGUAGCGGUGAAAUGCGUAGAGAUCCGGAGGAACACCAGUGGCGAAGGCGACACGCUGGGUCACACCUGACGCUAAAGCGCGACAGCAUGGGGAGCGAACGGG